rnacentral:rRNA from 1 species
AGAACGAACGCUGGCGGCAGGCUUAACACAUGCAAGUCGAACGCUCAUAGCAAUAUGGGAGUGGCGCACGGGUGAGUAACACGUGGGAACAUGCCUUUCAGUAUGGGAUAACAGCGGGAAACUGCUGCUAAUACCGUAUAUUCCCUCCGGGGGAAAGAUUUAUCGCUGAAAGAUUGGCCCGCGUUAGAUUAGGUAGUUGGUGGGGUAAUGGCCUACCAAGCCUACGAUCUAUAGCUGGUCUGAGAGGACGACCAGCCACACUGGAACUGAGACACGGUCCAGACUCCUACGGGAGGCAGCAGUGGGGAAUAUUGGACAAUGGGCGAAAGCCUGAUCCAGCCAUGCCGCGUGAGUGAUGAAGGCCUUAGGUUGUAAAGCUCUUUUGUCAGGGAAGAUAAUGACGGUACCUGAAGAAUAAGCACCGGCUAACUUCGUGCCAGCAGCCGC